rnacentral:rRNA from 1 species
AUGCUGCUAGCUAUGAGAUCUACGCCUCACGCGCCAGCCAACCGCGCCACCGCCCAAUUGUCGUACAACAAGCGAAACAAAUGUCCUCGUUCAGCAACAAGACCAUUGCAAAUCAUGGACAACUCCUGUUUCUUUGUGAUUAUGUAUGUAAACGCCCGGUGGACACUACGAACCAUUUUUGCGAAAAUCCAAGGGGCCAAUCCGCAUUCAGUUAAGAACCUGCGUAAGAAGCACAUAUUGAGCUCGGACACCUGUCCAAGAUGCAACAACGCUGUGGAGGACCGUGACCACCUCUUCUUCACUUGUCCAACGGCCCGCAGAGUGUGGCGGGCUACCGGUAUUCGACCGCAGUUCACCCCUAUCGCCGAGUUCUUCACCACCACCACCUUGCCAGCUGCUCUGCCUUCCCUUUAUGCUCCUUCUCAUUCUCUGGAAAAUCUGGGACGCAAGGAACAAAAAAGUUUUCCAGAGUUUGGAGAUUGA